GUUUCAUACUGCGGGUUCUCUUAUCAUCGUCUGCCCGUCGUACCUGACAACGUAUACAGGUAUAUACAUUCAUACAAAAGCAAAUUGAACGCGCGUGAUCGUGUAUCUAGCGAGAAAGAAUGGAGAACAAUGGACCAGAUGUGGUUGUCGUCGAGUUAUGAUGGUUAUUUUACUGUUAUAUUAGCAAGGAGACAUCCGGAUACAGAGGAAUGCAAAAAAAAAUGGAAGACAGAGAAACAAUAAACGAGAUGGAAAAAGAGAAAAUAUAAAAAUAUAGAACUUUGAUACUGCAAGAGUGAAAGAUCUCGAGUAAAGAAUGGAAUUUCAAAAGAAAUCAUGAAAACAAACAAAAUAUUAUAAUUUUCAAUCAAGUAAAAAGUAAAAAAAAUCAAAAAAUAUAUACUUCACAAGAAUAUGUAACCUUGAACAAAUGAAAGCUCCAUAAAAGGAACAAAACUUCGAUAGAACAAUAAUUAAUGUGGUAUAGAAUGUUCAAUGAUUUCGCCUAAAGAAUAGAAUCCUCGCGAGAAUUCCAUUCGGAAAUAGAAUUCUCUUUAAAAAAAGAGAGAAAAAGAAGGGGAUACUAUAAAAAUAGAAAUUUCGUCAAAGAGAGAUUAUAGAAAAAAUAUUGGAUCAAAAAUAAAACUAUAACAAAAUAAUAGAAUACUUCUAUUUAGAGUGUCUCAGUAAUGAUAACAUUGAAAAGGACUACAGAAAUAAAAAUUUUCAAAAAAAAAAAUUAUGGUCUUUAAAAGUAGAUUGUAA
rnacentral:misc_RNA from 1 species